UACGUAGGGGGCAAGCGUUGUCCGGAAUCAUUGGGCGUAAAGCGCGUGUAGGCGGUCCGGUAAGUCCGCUGUAAAAGUCGGGGGCUCAACCCUCGGAUGCCGGUGGAUACUGUCGGGCUUGAGUACGGAAGAGGCGACUGGAAUUCCUGGUGUAGCGGUGAAAUGCGCAGAUAUCAGGAGGAACACCGGUGGCGAAGGCGGGUCUCUGGGCCGAAACUGACGCUGAGACGCGAAAGCGUGGGGAGCGAACAGG
rnacentral:rRNA from 1 species